CUUUCUUGUGGGUUUGUUGUUUGGGGGUUUUGUUUGUUUGUUUUUACUCUCGUGGUGCUGGCGGUGGCUGCGGGGCCUGGUGGGUCACACGAGGCCGGCCCGGCGCCCCGGCCCCGACAGGCGCUGAGCCGUGGGGGCGCUCCCAGAGCCGGCUUGCCGAGUAACCAAAGCAGUACAUUUCUCGCUACGUCUAGAGAGCCGGCUCCCGUGGGGAAGUGACUCUCUUCUGCUCCGUUCCCGAAAAUGAAAUAUCCUAUCCCCCGAGAUUUCAGGAUUUUACACGUCUCUGUGAGCCGUUUAGGAUUAAAUAGGGAGUUCAGAGACUAUUUUUAAAAUGUGCAUGGCCUUCUGAAGGAGCUGAAGUUUUGUUCAGCAGCUCUCUUCAAGGGGACUCAAGAUCGUCCCGAGUUUCUUUACUGAACACGGUGAGUUCCUCAGAGACAGCAUUGCUGUAUCACCAGAAGACUACCGUUCUUAAGAACUGUAUUCCCUCUUAGAAAGGCUGCUUUGGCAGACUGAGGCACAUGACUGAGAUUUUUGCCCUGAUUGCAAAGAUGUUUUGCUGCCAGUGCUGCUGGAGAGCAAACAAGUAACACCCACCCCCUUUAACUUUGAUGUCUCUAAGAAAGGAGAUAGACUGCACUGAAAAACAGAGGACACACAGGCAGCAAGAUGAACAAUGCACACGUGUACAAUGUACAUAUAUGCAUGUACUUAACAGAUAUUUGGCCCCAUGUUGACUGUUUUUCUAAGUGCAAGAACUUUUACAAGGAAAAAAAGAAGACCCUGAAGAAUGUAAUGCUACUUUAUGGAGGACAAAUCUUCCAUUUCUACCCUGACAUGAAACUCUUCAAGGUGAACAAAGAGGGAGACAUGUCUAGAAACGCACAAAGAAGCCGAGCUAAUUAAGAGAGCUCCCACUGCCUCCCUUCAUGAAAGCUGCUAUGCUUUUGAAACCCUGGAGAUGGUUUGACUGUGGAUUUGUGAGGUUAGGAAUACAGCUGGGAUGCUGAGACUGUGGGCUGGGUGGUAUGUAUAGAAUGUGUUUGAUCAGUUUCCCUGGUUGUAUUAGAAAGAGAUGGCAUAAAACAAAUGGGGUGGAAAUAGGCAGAAAGGAUGAGGAGCUCCCUCUGGAAUAGGUCUGAACUGAUUUAGAUUGUGGGAAUUCUGUGUGUGUGUGUGUGUGUGUGUGUGUGUGUGUACUAAAUGUAUUUUUCCUGGAGAUUUCAGUGAUAAUAUUUUUUCUUCUAAUCUUUAUCAAUGUUACAGAAAAUGUAUUUGAGCCUUCAGCAACAUGAGGUUCAAACCUUGCAGUUCAUUCCUUCAGAUGUUUGCAUGGCAUGCUACAGCCCUGCUUUCUGUAUGCUGACAUGCAAACAGCUUGUCAGUCUCAUCUUGCACCAUUACUAUGAUUCCUUCCUUGGUUCCUGUCACUUCCAGGUAUUCAACACUGUAAAAAUACUUUUCU
rnacentral:lncRNA from 1 species